rnacentral:rRNA from 1 species
CAAGUCGAGCGGACCGACGGGAGCUUGCUCCCUUAGGUCAGCGGCGGACGGGUGAGUAACACGUGGGUAACCUGCCUGUAAGACUGGGAUAACUCCGGGAAACCGGGGCUAAUACCGGAUGCUUGAUUGAACCGCAUGGUUCAAUCAUAAAAGGUGGCUUUUAGCUACCACUUGCAGAUGGACCCGCGGCGCAUUAGCUAGUUGGUGAGGUAACGGCUCACCAAGGCGACGAUGCGUAGCCGACCUGAGAGGGUGAUCGGCCACACUGGGACUGAGACACGGCCCAGACUCCUACGGGAGGCAGCAGUAGGGAAUCUUCCGCAAUGGACGAAAGUCUGACGGAGCAACGCCGCGUGAGUGAUGAAGGUUUUCGGAUCGUAAAACUCUGUUGUUAGGGAAGAACAAGUACCGUUCGAAUAGGGCGGUACCUUGACGGUACCUAACCAGAAAGCCACGGCUAACUACGUGCCAGCAGCCGCGGUAAUACGUAGGUGGCAAGCGUUGUCCGGAAUUAUUGGGCGUAAAGCGCGCGCAGGCGGUUUCUUAAGUCUGAUGUGAAAGCCCCCGGCUCAACCGGGGAGGGUCAUUGGAAACUGGGGAACUUGAGUGCAGAAGAGGAGAGUGGAAUUCCACGUGUAGCGGUGAAUGCGUAGAGAUGUGGAGGAACACCAGUGGCGAAGGCGACUCUCUGGUCUGU